rnacentral:tRNA from 1 species
UUAUUCCUGUGGAAUUCGAACCCGCGCCCACAUUAGUAGACCAGAACACUCAACUCCCGCUACGGGAUAAGAUUUGCCCUUGAGUCUGGCGCCUUAGACCACUCGGCCAUUUA